UGGGGGAAUAUUGGACAAUGGGGGGCAACCCUGAUCCAGCAAUGCCGCGUGUGUGAAGAAGGUUUUCGGAUUGUAAAGCACUUUCGGCGGGGACGAUGAUGACGGUACCCGCAGAAGAAGCCCCGGCUAACUUCGUGCCAGCAGCCGCGGUAAUACGAAGGGGGCUAGCGUUGCUCGGAAUGACUGGGCGUAAAGGGCGUGUAGGCGGUUUGUACAGUCAGAUGUGAAAUCCCCGGGCUUAACCUGGGAGCUGCAUUUGAUACGUGUAGACUAGAGUGUGAGAGAGGGUUGUGGAAUUCCCAGUGUAGAGGUGAAAUUCGUAGAUAUUGGGAAGAACACCGGUGGCGAAGGCGGCAACCUGGCUCAUAACUGACGCUGAGGCGCGAAAGCGUGGGGAGCAAACAGGAUUAGAUACCCUGGUAGUCCACGCUGUAAACGAUGUGUGCUAGAUGUUGGGUAACUUAGUUAUUCAGUGUCGCAGUUAACGCGUUAAGCACACCGCCUGGGGAGUACGGCCGCAAGGUUGAAAC
rnacentral:rRNA from 1 species